rnacentral:rRNA from 1 species
GACGAACGCUGGCGGCGUGCUUAACACAUGCAAGUCGUACGGUAAGGCCCUUUCGGGGGUCCCCGAGUGGCGAACGGGUGCGUAACACUUGAGUAACCUGCCCACAACUUUUGGAUAACGCUAGGAAACUGGUGCUAAUACUGGAUAUAUGCUCCUGCUGCAUGGUGGGGGUUGGAAAGCUCCUGGGGUUGUGGAUGGACUCGCGGCCUAUCAGCUGGUUGGUGGGUUAGUGGCGUACAAAGGCGGCGAGGGGUAGCCGGCCAGAGAGAGUGAGCGGCGACACUGGGACUGAGAGAAGGCACAGACGCCGAAGGGAGGAAGAAGUGGGGAAUAUUGAACAAUAGGCGCAAGCCUGAUGAAGCAGCGCCGCGGGUGGGAUGACGGUCUUCGGGUUGUAAAACGCCUUCAGCAGGGACGAAGCUUUUUGUGACGGUACCUGAAGAAGAAGCACCGGCUAACUACGUG